GUCGUCAAGCUGGACUUUUGGAAAGCGUUCGACUCAAUCUGUUGGUCCUCCCUCCACCACACCCUGCAGGUUAGGGGCUUCCCACCUCGCUGGUGUGCCUGGAUCCGAUCUCUGCUUACCACUCGAUCCACCGCUGUUAUGCUUAAUGGCAUCCCAGGUAAGUGGAUCCAAUGCAAGAACGGACUCCGUCAAGGUGACCCCUAUCUCCUUAUCUGUUCAUUAUUACGGCCGAUAUUCUACAUCAAAUGA
rnacentral:rRNA from 1 species